UCACGUCUUACGACGGCAGUUUCACUAGAGUUCCCAGCGUUACCUGAUGGCAACUAGUGAUGGGGGUUGCGCUCGUUGCGGGACUUAACCCAACAUCUCACGACACGAGCUGACGACAGCCAUGCAGCACCUCCACGGCGGCCCCGAAGGGAAGCUCCAUCUCUGGAGCGGUCCGCCGCAGUUCAAACCCAGGUAAGGUUCUUCGCGUUGCGUCGAAUUAAACCACAUGCUCCACCGCUUGUGCGGGCCCCCGCCAAUUCCUUUGAGUUUCAAUCUUGCGAUCGUACUUCCCAGGUGGGAUACUUAACGCUUUCGCUCAGACACAUACAGUGUAUCGCAUAUGUCGAGUAUCCAUAGUUUAGGGCGUGGACUAC
rnacentral:misc_RNA from 1 species